AACGUACGCUGGCGGCACGCCUAACACAUGCAAGUCGAACGAAGUAGCAAUACUUAGUGGCAGACGGGUGAGUAACAUGUAGGUAUCUGCCCUUUGGCCUGGAAUAACACGAGGAAACUUGUGCUAAUACCGGAUAAGUCUUUACGGAGAAAGCUUUAUGCACCAUUGGAUGAGCCUGCACUUGAUUAGUUUGUUGGUGGGGUAAUGGCCUACCAAGACUGUGAUCAAUAGCUGAUUUGAGAGGAUGAUCAGCCACAUUGGGACUGAGACACGGCCCAAACUCCUACGGGAGGCAGCAGUGGGGAAUCUUGCACAAUGGAGGAAACUCUGAUGCAGCGAUGCCGCGUGAGUGAAGAAGGCCUUUGGGUUGUAAAGCUCUUUCGUCGGGGAAGAAAAUGACUGUACCCGAAUAAGAAGGUCCGGCUAACUUCGUGCCAGCAGCCGCGGUAAUACGAAGGGACCUAGCGUAGUUCGGAAUUACUGGGCUUAAAGAGUUCGUAGGUGGUUGAAAAAGUUAGUGGUGAAAUCCCAGAGCUUAACUCCGGAACUGCCAUUAAAACUUUUCAGCUAGAGUACGAUAGAGGAAAGCGGAAUUUCUAGUGUAGAGGUGAAAUUCGUAGAUAUUAGAAAGAACACCAAUGGCGAAGGCGGCUUCUACUGGAUCAUGACUGA
rnacentral:rRNA from 1 species